rnacentral:lncRNA from 1 species
CUCACCUCUGCGGCAUUCGGGAGCUAAAAAGUUCGAGUCGCAAGGCAUUCAACCUUCAAGGUAUGACUGUAUACACUAUUACCAAAUUACGUCUGCUGGGUGAAUUCCAAAUGCUAAUGUGAAGAAUCAACAAGGCUGAGCCCCAAUACAGUGGUGCCCCGCAAGACGAAUGCCUCGCAAGACGGAAAAACCGCUAGACGAAAGGGUUUUCCGUUUUGAAGUUGCUUCGCAGGACGAAUUCCCCUAUGGGCUUGCUUCGCAAGACGAAAAUGUCUUGCGAGUCUUGAGAUUUUUAUGUCGCUGUUCCCCCCCUGGAUCUAAUCUGCUAAGCCUAUAAUAGCCUUUAAUAGCCUUUUAGCAGCUAAUCCCCUCAGCCUUUAAGCCUUUACUAGCCGCUAAACAGCUGAUAGCGCUAAUAGCGCUAAUCCGUCAAUGGGCUUGCUUCGCAAGACGAAAAAACCGCUAGACGAAGACUCUUGCGGAACGGAUUAAUUUCGUCUUGCGAGGCACCACUGUAUUCCUCAAGUUCACUUUUCAGUUUGAAAGUAAUGAUUUCAUCAUGAGGACUAACCUCCGCAACCACUAAUCCUGCCUUUUUGGGGCUGUUCACUGCUGUUCUCAACUGUUUUCUCUUAACGUGUGUGUGUGUGUGUGUGUGUGUGUGUGUGAGAGAGAGAGAGAGAGAGAGAGAGAGAGAGAUUAGUGGUGGUUUACUGCCUUCCCUUUUCCUGGGCUCAGCUUUAUUAGCCAUCAGGAUUCCACAGCAUCCAUUGGAUUCAGAACUGCACCAUAUAUUUCCUGUUGGAUGGAUGUCAUCUCUCAUACAGUGGUACCUCGGGUUACAGACACUUCAGGUUACAGACGCUUCAGGUUACAAACUCCGCUAACCCAGAAAUAGUACCUUGGGUUACGAACUUUGCUUUAGGAUGAGAACAGAAAUCGUGCUCCAACGGCGUGGUGGCAGCGGAAGGCCCCAUUUGCUAAAGUGGUGCUUCAGGUUAAGAACAGUUUCAGGUUAAGAACGGACCUCCGGAACAAAUUAAGUACUUAACCCGAGGUACCACUGUACACAUUUUAUUUCAGAUUAACAAAUUUGGAAGAUGGGGCUCAAUGGUCACCAACUACCACGGCUCUCCUCUUCCUCCAUGGUCAGAGGCAGUAAAGCUUCUGAAUGUCAGUUGUAGGAAACAGCAGGAGGGGAGAGCGCUCUUAGAAUAAUAGAAACAUAGAGUUGAAAGGGACCGUGAAGAUGACUUUGUCCAAGCCCCUGCAAUCUUUUGCCCAAUGUGGGUCUGGAACCCACUACCCUAAGAUUAAGAGCCUCGUGCUCUACUAACUGAGCUAUCCCUCAGGGCAAUGAGAUUGUCAGCAAAAAUGCAGACUGCCAAAGAGGUGAUUUGCUGAAUGAAAGACAGAACACUCACAUCCAGCACUGAAUGUCUCACAAGAGUUGCCUGUCUAUCACUGGCAUGGUAUCUGAAGAAGUGUGCAUGCAUACGAAAGCUCAUACUAAUAACAAACUUGGUUGGUCUCUAAGGUGCUACUGGAAGGAUUUUUUUUAUUUUGUUUCUGUCUAUCACUUUCCCUGAUGAAUUUGAGAUACCAAAAUAAGAUCUCUUUAUUUGCCUAGCCUUUUAAAAGGUAAAGGGACCCUUGACCAUUAUUAAGGAGCAGUUAUUAUGUGUUAUGAGGUUAGAUGACACUUUGCUGUUGUGAUUGCUGUUUCAUUUACAUUUUAUCGUGUGUUUUUGUUCUGGCUUGUCACAAAUUGUUGUUAUUAUUUAUAAUUAUUAAUUGAUUUACUGUGUUUUAUUGUUAGUGACUUUGAAUAUAUAUAUAAAUUCUGCAUUACAUUUGCCUUAAUUUCUGUGCAUCACAAAAAUUAGAACUAGAAGGUUGUCCAUCCUUUAGACCGAGGGUAUCUCUGGGAAUUAGCGAUUGUAUUGUCUGCCUUUCCUGGCUAUACAAAGAGGAGAUGUACAAAUAUGAUGGCCAAUUUCAUAACUGUACAUGUUAACCAUCCAGGUUUUACUGGCGCCGGCAAUAUGAUCUGUCCACUCACCAGUUUAUAUUUUUCUCUGCACGUCUUAAGCAUCGGCUGUUACUUUAUGCCAAUCCUGCACUCUGCUGCAAACAGAGAAGAUUUUUAACCCAGAACUCCAUCCAAAUCUUUAUUCCCUCAUAUACUUUUUUUUUUUUUUUUAGGAGAAAAGGUCAGCGUAUUCCAGUGAACUGACGUACUCUGUCUAAUUUAUGCACCAAGAAGCUUAAAAAUGUGCGUCAUUUGACCAUUUUCCAUUUGUUCAUGCUGAGAUUAAGAGAUGGGGCUUAUUGUUGAGCUUAUAGUCAAAAUUACAACUAAGAGAAAAAAAGGGUUAGAGGGGAUCAGUAGCUGCAGCUGGCCUUUGAUUUAUUUAGUGCUGCCCAGUGUUGGGUGCACCGAAUGAGGAAGCUUGAAGACAGCAACUUCGCAGAGCCCUGUAAUUGUUAACUAUUCCAAGAGAAGAUGAUUCUGAUCUAAGUGAACAGCAGAAAUCUGAAUGCUAAAACUGGCCAACCCACAGCCAAGAAAUCUACGUAGCAAUGGCUGUGAACAUUCGUGUUUGUUUAAGAGAUAUUUUCUGCUUUCUGUAAACCUCAGCAUAUUUUCCUUGGCUAAAUCACAGUGCUGACUUCCUGCAACGUGAGUGAUAGCUGGGUGAGGG